GAUGAACGCUGGCGGCGUGCCUAAUACAUGCAAGUCGAGCGAAUGGAUUGAGAGCUUGCUCUUAUGAAGUUAGCGGCGGACGGGUGAGUAACACGUGGGUAACCUGCCCAUAAGACUGGGAUAACUCCGGGAAACCGGGGCUAAUACCGGAUAACAUUUUGAACCGCAUGGUUCGAAAUUGAAAGGCGGCUUCGGCUGUCACUUAUGGAUGGACCCGCGUCGCAUUAGCUAGUUGGUGAGGUAACGGCUCACCAAGGCAACGAUGCGUAGCCGACCUGAGAGGGUGAUCGGCCACACUGGGACUGAGACACGGCCCAGACUCCUACGGGAGGCAGCAGUAGGGAAUCUUCCGCAAUGGACGAAAGUCUGACGGAGCAACGCCGCGUGAGUGAUGAAGGCUUUCGGGUCGUAAAACUCUGUUGUUAGGGAAGAACAAGUGCUAGUUGAAUGAGCUGGCACCUUGACGGUACCUAACCAGAAAGCCACGGCUAACUACGUGCCAGCCGCCACCGUAA
rnacentral:rRNA from 1 species